rnacentral:misc_RNA from 1 species
UCCGAGUUGACCCCGGCAGUCUCCUAUGAGUCCCCACCAUCACGUGCUGGCAACAUAGAACGAGGGUUGCGCUCGUUGCGGGACUUAACCCAACAUCUCACGACACGAGCUGACGACAACCAUGCACCACCUGUGAACCGGCCCCAAAGGGGAAACCACAUUUCUGCGGCGGUCCGGUCCAUGUCAAGCCUUGGUAAGGUGGGGAUGACGUCGGAGGAAUUCCA